AAUAAUCGUUGGCCUGCUCAUUCCUCCAUUUCCGACUCUCUCCGAGAGGGAGAGGAAGCGGAGAUGGUGGACUCAAAAGGAAAGGGAAAGGAGAUUGCCGAAAAGUCUUCUUCCGGCAAUAGGAAGUCCUCACGUCCUCCCGACGACCAAGCAUCUGGUUCUCGAAAACACAGGCAGUCCGGAUUGUUGGCUCCGUCCUUUUGAAGAAAGAAAAAGCAUGGUGAGAAAAAGGUGCCGGACUGGUGAUGGUCAGCCGGAACGUCGCAAGGGGGUGAAAAAUUCAAAUAAAAUGAUUUAUUUUUUUAUGUCAACCCUCUAAUUGGAUGUAGUAAUGCCAGCGCUGUUGUGUUUGCAACUUUGCACAAGUGAAGUGCACUUCAUGUAUUUUAUGUACCAUGAAUAUCAGCUGGACUAGACUUUUCUUUUAUUCUAAACUUCUUUUGAU